UGGCGGACGGGUGAGUAAUGUCUGGGAAACUGCCUGAUGGAGGGGGAUAACUACUGGAAACGGUAGCUAAUACCGCAUAACGUCGCAAGACCAAAGAGGGGGACCUUCGGGCCUCUGCCAUCGGAUGUGCCCAGAUGGGAUUAGCUAGUAGGUGGGGUAAAGGCUCACCUAGGCGACGAUCCCUAGCUGGUCUGAGAGGAUGACCAGCCACACUGGAACUGAGACACGGUCCAG
rnacentral:rRNA from 1 species